ACUUUAUAUAAACUUAUAAAUUAUUGGUAAAAUGCAUCUAAUAUUUAGGAAUAACAGUGGCCAUUUUCAGAAGGUCACAGAGCUCAUAUGACCCUGAGCCAGAAUUGAAACCUCAGCAUUCUAACUUUAGAGCUGCUUGCUUACACACUGAGUUUAUACUGCCUCCCAACAGGGUAAAAGUGAUGCAUAUAUGUAUAAGUGUUUAGGAAUCGCCUGACAGGAAACUGCCAAAUGGCUAUCAUGCUUUCUUAGCUGACCUCUUUUUUUAGUGUGGGUCUUUGUUACCUUGAUAGCUUCUAAACACACCUCUUCAUUUUCUCUUAAGGCUUCCUCUCCACUUAACUUUGGCUACAGAGGAGUAACAUUAUUCCUUAGAUCAGCAAUACUCAAGUUGUUAGUGUCACCUUUAUACUUAGUUGAACUGUGUCUUAUGCAUUUUUUUUAACAUUGGUACCUAAAAGUAUGUGGCAUGUAACAGGUGAUGAAGAAAUGUCUGUUAUACAUGCAUUCGUUCAACAUUUCUUUUUUUCCAUUUCUUGUUCUAAUCUUUUGAUGGCAAUAUCAUUAAUAGUACUUCAAAAGAACACUGAUUUGCUGUUGGUGAUCAUUAUAGGCUUAUGUUAUUUCUUCCUCAGUUUUAGAGGUCAGAGUAGGAGCUCUGCAAAUCACUUGGUGGCUGUUUUUAAAGCCAAUUCUGUUACAGUCCAUAAUCUUUGAACUUCAGAAAGAACUUGGGUGCUGGGAUGGGAACAUGUCUUCUGCCUGUCUUUAUAUCAGUGUAAUAGCCCUUACGCAUUAGAAAAGCAAGUAGUGACCUAAUAGGUCACUUCUGACCUCUGGCUAAGCUGAGUAAAACUGUUAUUUAGAGCCAGACUCAUACUUUUUUUCAGUUUUUGUGCUAGGUUUUUUUUGUUUUGUUUUGUUUUGUUUUUUUGAGAUGGAAUCUUGCUCUGUUACGCAGGCUGGAGUGCAGUGGUGCAAUCUCAGUUCACUGCAACCUCCACCUCCUGGGUUCAAGCAAUUCUCCUGCCUCAGCCUCCUGAGUAGCUGGGACUAUAGGCACGCACACCCAUGCCUGGCUAAUUUUUGUAUUUUUAGUAGAGACGGGGUUUCACCAUAUUGUUCAGGCUGGUCUCGAACUCCUGACCUCAGGUGAUCCAUCCACCCGCCUUGGCCUCCCAAAGUGCUGGGAUUACAGGCAUGAGCCACCGCACCCAGCCUUUUUUAUGUUUUAGGAAUCAUUUAACUCUUCUGGACAUUAGCACUAACAAGUUUCAACACUGCCACUUACUUGCUCUGUGGCUUUAGGCAAGUUGUUUUGCCUCUUUGUGCCAGUUUUCAUGUGGGUAAAAACAAACAAAUAAAGGCAAGGUAGGGGUUGGACAGGACGCUGGCACUGGCAUUUUCCAGUUCUCUCAUCUGUAUUUUCUGACAUGUGUCUGCCUCCUGACGUGCAGGCAGCAGGGAUGCUAUAGAUCGAGAACAGCAUGGAGCUAACAAGACCUGCAUACAAUGAGACACAGUGGAUGAUUUUGUGAGUGGCUGGGAUACUUUCUGGAGGUUGAAAAUUGUUUUUAUUUAGCUGGCAUCACGUGUCCAUUAACAGCACUCAGCAUCCCCAGGGAUUGAGCGUGGCUUGCAACUCAGUGACAGACAAGCCCCACUGGGACUGUGAGGCUCAGGGAAUUUCACUGGGGAUUCAGACACCACCCAUGGUCCCUGCAGACCAGGCAGUGCUCAGAAGCAUGGAGGCAUCAGAGAUCCCAUUCUCAUCCAGGACACUACGUUGCCUGGGAAGUGCAGGGUUAGAGCUGCUUUUCAGAGAAGUUUGCAUAAAG
rnacentral:lncRNA from 1 species